AACACAACAUUAUAUUUAAUGAAUCUUGUUACAAUUGAAACAACAUAUAAAUCAAAAGUGUCAAUCAUUUGCCAAAGACAUAUAAUCUGAUAUAUUUUCUAAAUCUAAUGAAUUCCAUUGUUAUAGACGUCAUGCAUAAGCUAUAGUCUAUCAUGUAGACUCAUCAAUACAAUGCUUCUUCCAAUGCCUUGCAAGUGGAGGUCUCCAUUGUGUACACCCCUUGGUCAUAGUGUACACCCCUUGGGUUGGUUUUCCAACUCAGUUACAAGUAAAGAGUUUAUCACUUCUUGCAAAUGUUCCUUGAAUAAUGCAUCAUAUAAACCAGAUUUGGACUUAAUCUUUGUAUACAACUGUCGACACACAAUGCUCUUGUAUUUUUCACUAUGACCAAGUAAAGCAGCAAUAACAUGAUAUCCACAAUUUCCAUCUGUUUUAACAUUAACUAUGUUUUCAAUAUAUGGAUGAAUUAAAGGAGGAAACUCGUCGAAAUAUUUAUAACUUGACUCGUCAUAGGUGCUUGCUGGGAGACUUGUUUGGAUGCUUGUUAGGAGACUUGUUUGGAUGCUUGCUUGGAGACUUGAGUAUCAACAUGCUCAAAGUAUGAAGGGUCGCGAUAUACGUCAAAUCCCUUUGGCUUAUUGCCUUUUUUCCUCUUAACACCACCUUUUGUUUUGAUCUUAUUCAGUGGUGCA